AAACCAUACCCGGGGGUUGAAGGCCUAAGGCUGUUAGUAGGUUCAGGGUUAGUAAACCAUACCUGGGGGUUGAAGGCCUAAGGCUGUUAGUAGGUUCAGGGUUAGUAAACCAUACCUGGGGGUUGAAGGCCUAAGGCUGUUAGUAGGUUCAGGGUUAGUAAACCAUACCCGGGGGUUGAAGGCCUAAGGCUGUUAGUAGGUUCAGGGUUAGUAAACCAUACCCGGGGGUUGAAGGCCUAAGGCUGUUAGUAGGUUCAGGGUUAGUAAACCAUACCUGGGGGUUGAAGGCCUAAGGCUGUUAGUAGGUUCAGGGUUAGUAAACCAUACCCGGGGGUUGAAGGCCUAAGGCUGUUAGUAGGUUCAGGGUUAGUAAACCAUACCCGGGGGUUGAAGGCCUAAGGCUGUUAGUAGGUUCAGGGUUAGUAAACCAUACCCGGGGGUUGAAGGCCUAAGGCUGUUAGUAGGUUCAGGGUUAGUAAACCAUACCCGGGGGUUGAAGGCCUAAGGCUGUUAGUAGGUUCAGGGUUAGUAAACCAUACCUGGGGGUUGAAGGCCUAAGGCUGUUAGUAGGUUCAGGGUUAGUAAACCAUACCUGGGGGUUGAAGGCCUAAGGCUGUUAGUAGGUUCAGGGUUAGUAAACCAUACCCGGGGGUUGAAGGCCUAAGGCUGUUAGUAGGUUCAGGGUUAGUAAACCAUACCCGGGGGUUGAAGGCCUAAGGCUGUUAGUAGGUUCAGGGUUAGUAAACCAUACCCGGGGGUUGAAGGCCUAAGGCUGUUAGUAGGUUCAGGGUUAGUAAACCAUACCCGGGGGUUGAAGGCCUAAGGCUGUUAGUAGGUUCAGGGUUAGUAAACCAUACCCGGGGGUUGAAGGCCUAAGGCUGUUAGUAGGUUCAGGGUUAGUAAACCAUACCCGGGGGUUGAAGGCCAGUGCCUGGGAGUCACACGGAUCCACCACGGAGGGAUAUGGCUCAAAGAUGACCACUUUCCU